AUUGAACGCUGGCGGCAUGCCUGACACAUGCAAGUCGAACGGUAACGCGGGGGCAACCCUGGCGACGAGUGGCGGACGGGUGAGUAAAACGUAGGAAUCUGCCCAUUAGUGGGGGAUAACCCGGCGAAAGCCGGGCUAAUACCGCAUACGCUCUACGAAGGAAAGCGGGGGAUCGCAAGACCUCGCGUUAAUGGAUGAGCCUACGUCGGAUUAGCUAGUUGGUAGGGUAACGGCCUACCAAGGCGACGAUCCGUAGCUGGUCUGAGAGGACGAUCAGCCACACUGGGACUGAGACACGGCCCAGACUCCUACGGGAGGCAGCAGUGGGGAAUAUUGGACAAUGGGGGCAACCCUGAUCCAGCAAUGCCGCGUGUGUGAAGAAGGCCUGCGGGUUGUAAAGCACUUUCAGAGGGGAAGAAAAAAUCGGAUCUAACACAUCCGAGCUUGACGUUACCCUUAGAAGAAGCACCGGCUAACUCCGUGCCAGCCGCCGCCGUAA
rnacentral:rRNA from 1 species